rnacentral:rRNA from 1 species
CCUACGGGUGGCAGCAGUGGGGAAUAUUGGGCAAUGGGCGCAAGCCUGACCCAGCAACGCCGCGUGAAGGAAGAAGGCUUUCGGGUUGUAAACUUCUUUUGUCAGGGAAGAGUAGAAGACGGUACCUGACGAAUAAGCCACGGCUAACUACGUGCCAGCAGCCGCGGUAAUACGUAGGUGGCAAGCGGUGUGGGGAUGUACUGGGUGGAAAGGGCGUGUAGCCGGGUUGACAAGUAAGAUGUGAAAUCCUGGGGCUUAACCGCAGAACUGCAUUUGAAAGUGUUGAUCUUGAGUACUGGAGAUGCCGCUGGCAUUCCUUGUGUAGCGUUGACAUGCUUAGAUCUUAGGAGGCACCCCAGUGGC